GAGACAGCAGCAGCCGCGGUAAUACGGAGGGUGCAAGCGUUAAUCGGAAUUACUGGGCGUAAAGCGCACGCAGGCGGUCUGACAAGUCAGAUGUGAAAUCCCCGGGCUUAACCUGGGAACUGCAUUUGAAACUGUCAGGCUGGAGUCUUGUAGAGGGGGGUGGAAUUCCAGGUGUAGCGGUGAAAUGCGUAGAGAUCUGGAGGAAUACCGGUGGCGAAGGCGGCCCCCUGGACAAAGACUGACGCUCAGGUGCGAAAGCGUGGGGAGCAAACAGGAUUAGAUACCCGAGUAGUCCCUGUCUCUUAUAC
rnacentral:rRNA from 1 species